CUCUUUCUGGAGAUUUCUCUCUUGUGGUGUUUCCCUCUGAGUCUACAUCUUCAGAGAUGGCUCUUUGAACUGUAAAAUCACCAAGUGUUUGAAGAAGAAAGUAGAAUACCAGCAACUCCAGUUCAUUGAUUCAGAAAGUGUGCCAUACCUAAAAGUGCACCACGGAUUAGGGGUAGAACUGAGGUAUUCAGACUCUGCACUCUCCCCACAGAGUAAUUAGAGACCUUUUUCAACUGCCACAACUCUUCAAACAUGACGGAGUGACCUUGCCAGCACUUGCUUCUUCAGGACUCUUAUGUUCAUUAGUAACAAAGCAAUGAAAAGAAUACCUGUCAGACUUUGGUUGCCUCUAAACUUCCUAAAUACAUGGGAGCAAGUGAAUGUUCUAUCAGUGGUGCUGGUUCCACAACUGUGAUGUAAAUAAAUCCCAGGUAUUGUGAUGUUAUGCGUUAGACCACAUGGCUGCUAACACUUUCCUGUGAUGUGCAUCUUCAUAUUUGUAGGAGCUUCCUAUCUAUAAGAGGCUUAUUUUCUCUCUCGCUCCAGGCUGUGAUGAUUGAUUCAUGAACCACAGAGCUGUGCUUUGCAAGGUCAGCAUCAGCAGUGUUGCUACUGUGUGCAUAGUUUAUAAUCCCAACAAACAUUUUAAACUUCGAGCACAGAGGGAUGCAGUGUCUGUUAAUUGGAAAUCUCCAGGGCUCUGUAGUUUUCUUUUUCUUUUUAUUAUUAUUAUUAUUAUUUUUUUUUUUUUUGGCAAUGUGUUGUUAAAAAACAGGCACUCUUCUAUGAGCUGAGAGGUGGGUCAUAUUUAAUUAUACCUUCGUAAUGGAGUAUGGUCAAUUUCGCUGACUCGUGAUUGAUAACAACUGAGUGUUUUUGAUAGGAAUAGAAACACCAUUAUGUCUUCUUACUCUGUGAGUCCAGCAAAAGAAAUUUGGGAAAAUGCAUUUGAAGAGCUGGAAUGUUUGUGAAGUAACGUGGAAGCAAAGCUGUUCUAGAAAUGUAUGAUCUUGGAUCUCAGUCAUGGGAUUGUUUUCAGCUCUCUGUGAACAGGGUUCAACUGAGAGAGUACAAACUACAGUACUCAGACAUCAGAGGACUUGCCUAAGCCAUUGAAUUUGUGUUCCCCUUCUGAGCAAAGUGGAAUUUGGCAUUCUGUGAAGUGCCUGAGAACUUAAUUAUUCAUUGAAGUCAAAAUAAUUUAAUUCAGUUGUGAUCUCCUGACUUAUUAACUAAUGGUCACCUCAAUAAAGAUAUGAUGGGAAAAAAGUCUGAAUUGCUCAGAAGAAUAGCACACCUUUGCCACUUAACUUACAAAGAAAGAUAGUUGAUCUGGUGAGCUGAGCUCUGCACUGGGUGAAGAAGCCCAUCCCAGUGAGGAAAAGGACUGCGUAAAGCAGAAUAUUCCUCAAGGUGAGAAGACAGCCUUCCCAGAUUUCCCAUGAGAAUUAGAGGAACUCUGUCUCAGUGACACAUGUAUGUAGGUAGGUUUUUCUGUAUUAUGUAUUCCAUUUGGUUUGCCUUGGACAUACUGAAAAAGAGAAGAAGAUAAGAGAGCUUAAAAGUAGAGGCAAUUUGACAAGAUGGGUGGCGUGAGAACAGUAACAGAAGAAAAGGAAUAACCUAGCAGAAAAGCAGGAUGUCUAUAUAUAAAGUGAUAAGUUCAUAGUUGAAGAUCUUUUGCAGAUGGUUGAGGUGAAGUAAGAAGGGAAAAACAGGUAAAUGGGAAGGAAAAAAGUUUACACAGAAUAAACUUCAAAGAGAUGGUUCAGUGUUGUCAUAUUGUAACAAGAUUCUCUUCAGAAAUGCUGUUCCAUUAGAGCUGAUUACAGCUCAACAAUUUGAUGUGUGGAAAUAAAAAUGACAAAUAU
ensembl:lncRNA